AUAUAUAUAUAUAUAUAUAUAUAUAUAUAUAUAUAUAUAUAUAUAUAUAUAUAUUAGGCCCCCGCCCAUCACCCAUGGGUGGGGGCCA